UACGUAGGGAGCAAGCGUUGUCCGGAAUCACUGGGCGUAAAGCGCACGUAGGCGGAUUGUUAAGUCGGGGGUGAAAUCCUGAGGCUCAACCUCAGAACUGCCUUCGAUACUGAGAGUCUUGAGUCCGGGAGAGGUGAGUGGAACUGCGAGUGUAGAGGUGAAAUUCGUAGAUAUUCGCAAGAACACCAGUGGCGAAGGCGGCUCACUGGCCCGGUACUGACGCUGAGGUGCGAAAGCGUGGGGAGCAAACAGG
rnacentral:rRNA from 1 species